GUCGAACGGGACUUUUAUUUCGGUAAAAGUCCAGUGGCAAACGGGUGAGUAACGCGUAGGCAACCUGCCUCCAAGAUGGGGACAACAUCCCGAAAGGGGUGCUAAUACCGAAUGUUGUAAAGCCAUUGCAUAAUGGCUUUACCAAAGGCGGCUUUUAGCUGUCGCUUGGAGAUGGGCCUGCGUCUGAUUAGCUAGUUGGUGACGGUAACGGCGCACCAAGGCAACGAUCAGUAGCCGGUCUGAGAGGAUGGACGGCCACAUUGGGACUGAGAAACGGCCCAGACUCCUACGGGAGGCAGCAGUGGGGAAUCUUCCGCAAUGGGCGAAAGCCUGACGGAGCAACGCCGCGUGAACGAGGAAGGUCUUCGGAUCGUAAAGUUCUGUUGCAGGGGACGAAUGGCAGUAGUGUUAAUACCACUAUUGAAUGACGGUACCCUGUUAGAAAGCCACGGCUAACUACGUGCCAGCAGCC
rnacentral:rRNA from 1 species